ensembl:snRNA U1 U1 spliceosomal RNA
AUACUUACCUGGUAAGGGAGAUAUCUUGAUCACGAAGGUGGUAUUCCCAAGGUGAGGCUUAUCCAUUGCACUCCAGAUGUGCUGGCCCCUGCAAUUUCCCCAAAUAGGGGAAACUUGGCUGGAUAAUUUUGGGAGUGGGGACUGCAUUCGUGCUAUUGCUUG